rnacentral:rRNA from 1 species
AACGAACGCUGGCGGCGUGCCUAACACAUGCAAGUCGUGCGAGAAAGUUCCUUCGGGAGCGAGUAAAGCGGCGCACGGGUGAGUAACACGUAGGUAACCUGCCCCCCAGUCUGGAACAACUAGAGGAAACUCUAGCUAAUGCCGGAUGAGACCACGAUCCCUUCGGGGGUUGCGGCCAAAGAUGGCCUCUACUUGUAAGCUAUCGCUGAGGGAUGGGCCUGCGGGCCAUUAGCUUGUUGGUGAGGUAACGGCUCACCAAGGCUGUGAUGGCUAGCUGGUCUGAGAGGAUGACCAGCCACACUGGGACUGAGACACGGCCCAGACUCCUACGGGAGGCAGCAGUGGGGAAUAUUGCGCAAUGGGCGAAAGCCUGACGCAGCGACGCCGCGUGGGUGAUGAAGGCCUCGGUCGU